rnacentral:rRNA from 1 species
GUGCCAGCCGCCGCGGUAAUACCGGCAGCCCAAGUGAUGGCCGCUGUUAUUGGGCCUAAAGCGUCCGUAGCUGGCCGCACAAGUCCGUCGGGAAAUCCGCCCGCUCAACGGGCGGCCGUCCGGCGGAACCUGUGUGGCUUGGGACCGGGAGGCCUGAGGGGUACGAUCGGGGUAGGAGUGAAAUCCCGUAAUCCUGGACGGACCGCCGAUGGCGAAAGCACGUCGCGAAGACGGAUCCGACAGUGAGGGACGAAAGCUAGGGUCUCGAACCGGAUUAGAUACCCGAGUAGUCC